CAAGUAGGAGCUUGAUAUAAAGCAUUUUAUUUACAUUAAAAAGUUAUUUGUGAAAUUCAAUUUUACUUGA
rnacentral:tRNA from 1 species